rnacentral:rRNA from 1 species
AGGCCCUGGUUUAUGGCCUUGAACACACCCAGUCUUGUUUGACCUUGGAAGCUAAGCAGGGUCAGGCCUGGUUAGUACUUGGAUGGGAGAAACAGUGUUCAUUACUUA